UACGUAGGGUGCAAGCGUUGUCCGGAAUUAUUGGGCGUAAAGAGCUCGUAGGCGGUUUGUCGCGUCUGCUGUGAAAACUCGGGGCUUAACCCCGGGCCUGCAGUGGGUACGGGCAGACUAGAGUGCGGUAGGGGAGACUGGAAUUCCUGGUGUAGCGGUGAAAUGCGCAGAUAUCAGGAGGAACACCGGUGGCGAAGGCGGGUCUCUGGGCCGUAACUGACGCUGAGGAGCGAAAGCGAGGGGAGCGAACAGG
rnacentral:rRNA from 1 species